AUCUGGGGAGGCGCUGCUUUCUUUAAGCGGGGGCGUCUGCUCAUCAGACACAUUCAAAAGCAGCAACAGUUGCUGCAAAUAGUAAACCCAUUAGUGCAGCAGAUACAAUUUUUAAACACUGUGUAGGUUGGGGAUGGGUAUUUUCAUGGAUGGCUAGGCUCUCAUCUCUCAGUAGUGUCAUCUUCAAAAUCAAAUGACAGCUCUACUAUACACAUGUCACCCGAAGACCAUACUUAACAACAAAUGACAAGACAGGAUCACAGGCAAGGAGUGUUGCUCGUCGUGAAACACCACACCUUCCCCUAAAUCGGUCCGCGCUUCAUUAUCCUGUCAUCCCUCCAUCCGCUCUAGAAAGUUGGUGGAUUUGGAAUGAAGAUCUGCAGGCAGAGAAACCCAGGCAAACCGCUUCCCUUCUCCGGAAAGCAGGGAUCAGUCCCAGGACACACAGCCGGAAACUGGGGCCAGUGGCACAGCAGAGUCUUGGACCAGAAGGGAGAGGAAUGAAAAUGUUUUCGUGCACGCCCACCCACCACCGGAAAUCAUGAACGAUUAUAGAACCGUGUCGGAGAUGGUGCUGUGGAGGGAUUCCGCCUUUCACGGAUUUGUCAGGCGAUCUGCCUGGCGGGGGAGGAAGUGGCUGAUCGGAGUCCCUGGUGAUCAUUUGGCUUUUCUAAUUCUCUCUCACAACAUGUGGGUAUACCACACGCUAGUUGC